rnacentral:ncRNA from 1 species
GAGAGCCGUAUACACUGAAAGGUGUACGUACGGUUCGGUGGGGGGAAUUGUGAAACCUAUUAUGGAAACAUAUUAAGGCGUAUGAUUCCUACCCUAC